rnacentral:rRNA from 1 species
CACGUAGGCACCAAGCGUUGUCCGGAUUUAUUGGGCGUAAAGAGCUCGUAGGCGGUUCGGUAAGUCGGGUGUGAAAACUUUGGGCUUAACCCAAAGCCUGCAUCCGAUACUGCUGUGACUAGAGUUCGGUAGGGGAGCGGGGAAUUCCGCGUGUAGCAGUGAAAUGCGUAGAUAUGCGGAGGAACACCGAUGGCGAAGGCAGGUCUCUGGGCCGAUACUGACGCUGAGGAGCGAAAGCGUGGGGAGCGAACAGG